rnacentral:rRNA from 1 species
GGCGAACGCUGGCGGCAGGCUUAACACAUGCAAGUCGAGCGGGCGUAGCAAUACGUCAGCGGCAGACGGGUGAGUAACACGUGGGAACGUACCUUUUGGUUCGGAACAACACAGGGAAACUUGUGCUAAAUACCGGAUAAAGCCCUUACGGGGAAAGAUUUAUCGCCAAAAGAUCGGCCCGCGUCUGAUUAGCUUUGUUGGUGAGGUAACGGCUCACCAAGGCGACGAUCAGUAGCUGGUCNGAGAGGAUGAUCAGCCACACCUGGGACUGAGACACGGCCCAGACUCCUACGGGAGGCAGCAGUGGGAAUAGUUGGGCAAUGGGCGAAAGCCUGAUCCAGCCAUGCCGCGUGAGUGAUGAA